AGUGAACGCUGGCGGCAGGCCUAAUACAUGCAAGUCGAACGGCAGCACAGCAGAGCUUGCUCUGUGGGUGGCGAGUGGCGGACGGGUGAGGAAUACGUGGGAAUCUGCCCAGUCGUGGGGGAUAACGUAGGGAAACUUACGCUAAUACCGCAUGCGCCUUCGGGAAGCCGGGGACCGUUCGGCCGUGGCGCGAUUGGAUGAGCCCACGUCGGAUUAGCUAGUUGGCGGGGUAAAGGGCCCACCAAAGGCGACGAUCCGUAGCUGGUCUGAGAGGAUGAUCAGCACACUGGAACUGAGACACGGUCCAGAUCCUACGGAGGCAGCA
rnacentral:rRNA from 1 species